rnacentral:rRNA from 1 species
AACGAACGCUGGCGGAAGGCCUAACACAUGCAAGUCGAGCGAGGACUUCGGUCCUAGCGGCGGACGGGUGAGUAACGCGUGGGAACGUGCCCUUUGCUUCGGAAUAGCCCUGGGAAACUGGGAGUAAUACCGGAUGAGCCCUUUGGGGGAAAGAUUUAUCGGCGAAGGAUCGGCCCGCGUUGGAUUAGGUAGUUGGUGGGGUAAUGGCCUACCAAGCCGACGAUCCAUAGCUGGUUUGAGAGGAUGAUCAGCCACACUGGGACUGAGACACGGCCCAGACUCCUACGGGAGGCAGCAGUGGGGAAUCUUAGACAAUGGGGGAAACCCUGAUCUAGCCAUGCCGCGUGAGCGAUGAAGGCCUUAGGGUUGUAAAGCUCUUUCAGCUGGGAAGAUAAUGACGGUACCAGCAGAAGAAGCCCCGGCUAACUCCGUG